UCGGGGAACGUUAAGGGCGUCGAGCGGCGGACGGGUGAGUAAUGCCUGGGAAAUUGCCCUGAUGUGGGGGAUAACCAUUGGAAACGAUGGCUAAUACCGCAUAAUGCCUUCGGGCCAAAGAGGGGGACCUUCGGGCCUCUCGCGUCAGGAUAUGCCCAGGUGGGAUUAGCUAGUUGGUGAGGUAAGGGCUCACCAAGGCGACGAUCCCUAGCUGGUCUGAGAGGAUGAUCAGCCACACUGGAACUGAGACACGGUCCAGACUCCUACGGGAGGCAGCAGUGGGGAAUAUUGCACAAUGGGCGCAAGCCUGAUGCAGCCAUGCCGCGUGUAUGAAGAAGGCCUUCGGGUUGUAAAGUACUUUCAGUCGUGAGGAAGGUACUGUAGUUAAUAGCUGCAUUAUUUGACGUUAGCUACAGAAGAAGCACCGGCUAACUCCGUGCCAGCAGCCGCGGUAAUACGGAGGGUGCGAGCGUUAAUCGGAAUUACUGGGCGUAAAGCG
rnacentral:rRNA from 1 species